GUCCAACUACUUCUAAAAAAUAAAUGUUUUAUUAAAAAGAAUCUGCGUCUGAGCAAUUGUUGGGAAGAGCAGAAGAAAAGAAAAAGAUCUCAAUGUGUGCAAGAAUGCCAUCAUCAUUGAUUGAAGAUGUUGUUUCCCUGAGCCCGCCGACUAAGGAAGGCAUUCUAGAAGGCUCUGCCCUCUGUCUUAAUCCGUUUGGGCUUCUAAAACAAAACAAAGACUAGGUGGUUUACAAACAACAGAAGUUUAUUUCUCACAGCGUCUGGAGGCUGGGAAGUUCAAGAUCAAGGCACCAACUGACCCAGUGCUCAGUUCAGAGCUUCUUGCUUUGUCUUCUCAUGGUAAGAGGGUCUCUUGACUCCCCCAUGAGGCCACAAAUUGGGA
rnacentral:lncRNA from 1 species